rnacentral:lncRNA from 1 species
CCUUAAAAAAAUCUUGACCCCAGAGGAUGUCAGAUCCACUACAAAUACAGCAAAAUCCAAUGUUCACAUGGACAGAGUCUUCCCUAUAUUUGCACGACGUCGCACAAGUACAAUAUACAACCACACCGUAUGAAUAUUCACAUACAAUCACCAUUCACAUACAUCAUUCACAUCCAUCACAGUUUAUUAUAAAUCCACAUCUAUGAGUUUAAAAUGUUUCCUACGAGGAAACUUAUUUUGAAAUACUGAGAAUCAUGAAAACUAGAAAAACUCUUUUUAAAACUGUUUCGCACACGAAAACCUUUUCCUUUAAAAACACGCUACCACGAGGGGUGGAAAACUGUUUUCAUUUUAUCAGA